ensembl:lncRNA
CAGUAGUGUAUGAAUGGAAAGCCAGUGAACAAAUUGCACAAUGUGGAUGUGGGGUCACAGAGGAAAGCAGAAAAGAUAACAGUAAGGAAAAGCUAGAAGUGGAAAUGCAUUGCAUCACACACAUACAAAAAUGAAUAUGUUAAUUGCCUGUUAUAAAUAAAUUUGUUUUAGGUGUGAAACCAACUUUCUCCUUUAAUGUUAUUUAUUACCAUCUCUGUAACCCCAAAGCCUUUUGCAGACUGAGGACUCAACUGUACACCCAUGCUGGAGCAGAUUGAGACGGAUGGAGCACGAGGUCCAUGCUCUGUCUUCCUCAUGCUCCACCUCCUCAUGAGGUUCUUCUGGCUCUGUUCCCAGGCGAGAUGGAAUCCAUAGAGCGAAAUGAUGACAAUAAGCUCUCUGGAACAUACCAAGUGAGGUGAUUCAGCGCAGUGUCUCCACACACUGUAAUUAAAAGGCAGGCAGACACACAUUUUCAAUAAUAUGAAGGAAAGUGUUUUCUAAUUGCUGUUUUCUUUUUUUUUUUUUUUUUCCCCCAUUUGAAAUACAUUUGUUUAACCUACAGUGCAAUCCAUCUCUUCCUACCAUGUGUCAUCGGUGAAUUGGAAGGUUUAUUCAUGCUCUGUGCUAUACUCCCUCAGCCGUCUCACAGGGAAGCUAUAAG